rnacentral:rRNA from 1 species
GAUGAACGCUGGCGGCGUGCCUAAUACAUGCAAGUCGAGCGAACGGACGAGAAGCUUGCUUCUCUGAUGUUAGCGGCGGACGGGAGAGUAACACGUGGAUAACCUACCUAUAAGACUGGGAUAACUUCGGGGAACCGGAGCUAAUACCGGAUAAUAUAUUGAACCGCAUGGUUCAAAAGUGAAAUGCGGUCUUGCUGUGACUAAUAGAUUGACCCGCGCUGCAUUCGUUAGUUGGUAAGGUAAAGGCUUACCAAGGCAACGAUGCAUAGCCGCCCUGAGAGGGUCAUCGGCCACACUGUCACUGAGACACGGUCCCGACUCCUACGGGAGGCCGCAGUCGGGAAUCCUCCGCGAUGGGGGAGAGCCUGACGGAGCAACGCCGCGUGAGGGAUGAUGGACUUCGGAUCGUAAAGCUCUGUUAUUAGGAAAGUUCAUAUGUGUAAGUAACCGUGCACAUCUUGACGGUACCUAAUCAGUAAGCCCCGGCUAACUACGUG